AGCCCAAAACCGUUUAGUUCCUUUGCAAUUUUUAUUUGAAAAUUGUUAUAGUUUUGAGUUAUUAAUAUAUAUAUAUAUAUUAGUCGAGUUUGUGAUGAAUCUAGUCGCGCCCCUAGUUCGAUAAAUAAAUUUAAAUUAUAGAUUAUUUUGGACUCAAAAAUUGGGCUAUAAAUAAGUACAUACAUGAAUUCUUUGUUAUUGGGCUUUUAUUUCUAUAUAGAUUAAUUUCUCAAUAUUGGGCCUUAUUAAAUCAUUUUUUUUGUUGGGCUAAAAGAAUAGUAUGAGCCCAUUAAUUUUCAGUACAAGAUUUAUACUAUAUUAUCAUCAGCAUUUAUUUCUUUUCUUUAGUGAUUUGUAACUUUUGAUUUUGAUGAAUCAUCUGCAACGUGUUUCAUUCUUUUAGCCACAAAUUCGAUUUUUACUCCUCAACCACAUAUUUUAACUUGUGCAGCACGAUAAUUCAACCCAGUAUAUAUAUGUAUAUCUCAUCUUCUUCAUCGCAAUUACCCAGCAAAUCCAACAAAAACCAGAUUUAUAUUUCUUCCCACUGCCGAAAAUCCAACAAAAACCAGAUUUAUAUUUCUUCCCACUGCCGAAUCUCCAUCGGUGCGGCGCGACUAGGACGUUACUUUUAUUUGAUUUACUCAAGUUAGCAUACAAGUUGAAGUUCAAGUUCAAAUUCAGGUGUGGGAUUUAUUUCAGUACAUGCUGUGGUUAAUUCUUGUCCAUUUUAAUAAUAUGUGUUUACCAUAUGUGUUAUGACGUAUAUUUUGAGGAUAUCGCUAGGGGCCCGUAAAUAGGGUCCAGGACUUCACCGUCCUUGGAUUGCCACAAUGCGAUUUCAUGUUAAAGUUAUGGUUGCAACCAGUCGCCAGGGGCCGGCUCAAUCGGUCCAGGACGGAAAGGUCCUUGGUAUGCCACCGUGCGACUUUCAGUCACGAAUGUAUUGAUCAUAUGUGAUUCUCAUUUUAUUAACGUGGACAAUGAUUGCAUGUUCCCA